GUCUGAUGUUGAGAUUUUUGAGCAAAUGAGAAGUUAACAAGAAAGCUGGUUGUAGGCCCAGGAGUGAGAAUAGCUCCUGUAGGCUUCAUUCUGUUCCUCCUCCUUGGAUGCUGGGGAAACAAGAAGCACUGCAAGGAGCCAUGUGCCGUCUCAAUUUGAGAGCUUCUUGCAAAUGCUGGUUUCCAGCAUGGUGUCAUUGGCCAAAACUGACAGUGGUUGAAGCUCUGUUGUUGGUUUUCUCCUCUCAAGACCAUGAGGCUGUGGCUUUUCAAAGGGUUUCAUGAUUCUGGCAGCAAAAGUUGGGAAAACUCAGCCUGUUUUUCAGUCAUCAACUAGAAGUUUGCAGUCCAGCAAAAACUGGUUGAAAUGCAGCAUUUCGUAGGGAAAUUGGCUCACUGUGUUUUUGGUCAGUAAAUCAGGUGAAUAUGAACAAUAGCAUGUGAGAGGGAGAAAAGCUCAGGUUCUUUUUAUUCCUAGGCAGAACAAGACUUCUGCCUCAAUGUGCACUUCUGGGAAAUUAGCACAAAAUGGGAUUAGUCCACUGAUCCAAACUGAGAUUAAGCAGUCUGACUCUUGUACCAGGAAAUAUUUAGCAGAUGCUGUAUAAUCUCUUACCAUGUGAAUCUUCUACUCAGAGAAGUGAUACUAAAGUUUGGGGAUAAUAUACUUUGCUUUUCAAGUCUAAUGUGCACACAGAGUGCGACAUAUAACAUCAGUUUUGCCUAUGGGAGCUACAACCAAUACCUCUGUAAUAAAUAUUACAUCUCAGUUGUGUACAGGUAGAAAACAUUGUAGUCAUUCAGAGAAAGUGCAGCUGUUAAUGGCACAAAAGGGGCUGGGGUUUAAGCUCUCUCUGUGCAGGUCUCAUUCCAGGCUACAAAACCUGGUGUUCCUUACUGCCUAUGAGCAACCUUUCUUGCCUCCCCUUGGCAGACUGAUCGUUACUACCAAGCGGCCUCUGUGAAGUUCAUUGUUUGUGUAGGCAUUUCCAUGUUGUUGUCCUAAUGUGCCACCAGGAUCCUAUUUUGAUCUGGUAACAGCUUAACAUGUUCAACCUAGCUUCUUGGAUAGACAAGGUUUGAUAUGGCAUCAGCGAUUAAGAGAGUUCCUAUCAUGGGAUUGAAACUGCUGCAGAGCCAGGUCUGGCUGACUCCUUGCACACUGUGCAUAUGCUCCCUCAGCCCAGUUGCAUCUCUUCCUGUUCUCAGAGGACAGAGAGACACGGCUCAGGAAUCUGCAGUCCUCACAUCACCAUGCAGCUGCCCCUGUCACGGAGGCCUUCAGUCUCCAACUGUUCUUCUGACUGUUCCCCCUCCAGACUUGUACCAGAGUGCAGCUGAAACAGCCAUAGCCUCCAGUGUGCUCAUUGUAAUGACUUUUUGUCAGAGUCCAUAACUUGCUGAUGAGGGUCCUGUGAUGUGUUGCAGAUAUCUGGUAUGUAUAUUGCUUUCUAAUUUAUACUUUACCCUGUUCUUUUUUCCCAGGAGAUGAGCUUUUUGACACCUAUAUGGGUGUUACUGUGGUGACUGUAACCAGACAAAAACAUACAGUUUGUAUAGAGAUAGUUUUACAUUUGUGGACUUGGUUAUGAUUAAGAGAUUUUUAAAGCAUGCUGUAUUUUUUCCCCUUCAUUGCAGAACAGAGAGAGGUUUCUCAUGAGCUUUCAGUUGCACGCUAUGAAGUGGAAAAGUAUGAUUCAUCUUCAAAAGCAUGUGUGUAUUGGUGUAUAUAUAUACAAACACAGACAUAUUAUGCAAACAAAUGUUGUGACUUUUAGCUAGUUAGAGAUUUAGAACACAUUUCUCCAAGCUUAGUUAUGAUUGUUUAGAUGCUUCUAAUUUCUUUAUGCUUUAUCUGGAUUUCUUGUUUAUCUCAGAAUUUUCAGGGUUUAUAAUUCGUGGGUUUUGAAUAAUAGGAAUAUCUCUGUAAUAUAUUUUACUGUAAAUCACUGCCAUGUAGCCUUAACAUUUCCUCCAUCUUCAGGGUGGGUUUUUUUCAGUCUUAUAAUGUCAUUUCCCUGCAGUAUGAGGUUUUUGAGAAGACAGCAUUCUGUGAUUCUCCCCUGAGUGCCUUUCCAAAAAAGCUAUAAUUGCAGUGAACAAGAUGGGUUGCACUCACCAGACUCCAGCAGGAGGAGGCCUCUUUAUCCCACAGGCUAAAAAGAUCAGAAGUGAGUUUAUAGGAAACCCCCUCUAUUUCGUGUUCGCUAGGGACUGGAACACCUAAGAUUUCCAACUUUCAGCUUGCCUUCCCAACAGGUCUGGUGUUUUUACAGAGUAGAUUAUUCCUCCCUCCUGAUGCCUCACCAAAGACUUUUGCAUGACUGCAGAGGAGCCCCUUUAUCUUCACAACCCUUUUGCUGUAUGAAGGAUGAGUUUUAAGGGCUCUUCCUUGGCUUCAAGCCCCUUUCUAACCAAGAGCUGCUGUUUGACAAGUGUUUGCAGAAGCUGUCUUAGCCAGUCCAACCCCCAGCAAGAGAAAUGUAUCUAAAUGCAAAGGUAGGUACUCUGUCAAUCUUUGUGUGAGUAAAGGAAGUUAAGAGAAUGGGACUUCGUUUUUUCUCCUCCAGGGAAUCAAAAGGGGCUGGUAGCUGCUGAUGGUUUGGCUCUGUAUGGCAUUACCAGACCUCUGGCCUCUUCCUUUUAACAGCUUUCCUGGUUCCUCAAAGUUACUUAUCAUACUCCUAUUCAGACCUGUGCAACUGGUUGUCCUGAAUGAUUGCAGACUCACAAAAGAAGGUUAUGGGAUGUGGAUGAACUUCAACACAAGGCUCAUCCACGAUAAACUCAUGAGUAUUUCUAUAUGAAGUAAGGGAGUUAACUCCUUGGUAGUUGUAGUAAACACUCACCUGAUAUAGAACUAUCUGUGUAUCUAUCUUGUUAAAACCUCCCUGAAGCUGUUGCAUGUUGUUCUGUUCUUUUUUGAGAAAGUCUUGCUGAUAGUGCAGGUAGGUGGGAGAGUAUUCCUAGUGCUGGAUAUGCCUCUUUCCUCUUCCUCGUAGCACAGAUAGGAAUCAGUGAAUCCUUAAACUGGGUUGAGAAAUACAACUUAUGAAUGUGGUGAAAGAAGAAAAACAAGCAAACAAACAAGAACACAGUGACUGGAGGGGAGAAGGGACUACAUCCUUUGCAGUGCUACACAACCAAAAAGCAAAAAUUACCAAAGCACUAGGCCCUGCACCUUACACUUCUAUUUUCUGCAUUUCCUGAAAGAGUCAGGAUUGGGAAGAUCCAUGAAAGCUGAUCAGUAAAAGCUUGCUGCUUCACAUGGCCCUUCUCUCUUUGGAGUUCUGCAGAUCCAGUUGUGCUGAGCUUCAGAAUUAAAGGAGAGGAUGUUUGACGCAGCCAGAUACACAAAGGUGUAUGAAACUGCAAAGAAUUAUGACAGUUUGUUAAUUUAUUGUUUGGUAUAGACUGGCAGGCAGACCAUCUCCUGUGGGAGCUGCUGGCUGAGAUGCCAUAAUGAACUUUCCAGUGGAGUCCAAUGUAAGCCUAAACUCAGGAUAUUGUCUUUACCCAGGCAUUCACGACAGCAAGCAGUUAAAUGUCAGAAGUAUUUGAAAUUCUGCUUCUGAGAACUGAGUUAGGCACCACAGGUUUUGUUCUGGCUUAUGCUGGUAUGGGAGACAGGGGACUGCUGGGUCCCUCACUCUUGGUUUCUUCUGUAAUACCCACAUAGUUUUCACACUGAUAAUUGCUGUUUCUGGGGGCCACCUCAUUUGUUUUUCCAAUUCCUUUGUGUCUCUCUGAGAAGAAGUGGUGUAAAAUUUGUUACUUUUUUGCCCUGAAAUCACAUCUGAGCUGCACUUUCAAAUUCUGCCUCCCUCCUUCUCCUCCUCCC